GACGAACGCUGGCGGCGUGCUUAACACAUGCAAGUCGAACGAGUGGCGAACGGGUGAGUAAUACGUGGGUAACCUGCCCUCUUUUGGGGAUAAGCCUUGGAAACGGGGUCUAAUACCGAAUAAAGGGGGAUGGGCUCGCGGCCUAUCAGCUUGUUGGUGGGUUGAUGGCCUACCAAGGCGGUGACGGGUAGCCGGCCUGAGAGGGUGAACGGCCACAUGGGAACGGAGAUACGGCCCAGACUGCUACGGGAGGCAGCAGUGGCGGAUAUGGCACAAUGGGCGAGAGCCUGAGGCAGCGACGCCGAGUGGGGUAUGAAGUCGUACGGGUUGUAAAGCUCUUUAGCUAUCGAAGGGGUAGGUGGAGAAGAAGCGCCGGCUAACUACGUGCCAGCAGCCGCGGUAAUAC
rnacentral:rRNA from 1 species